UACGUAGGGGGCGAGCGUUGUCCGGAUUCAUUGGGCGUAAAGAGCUCGUAGGCGGCUUGGCAAGUCGGGUGUGAAAACUCCAGGCUCAACCUGGAGACGCCACCCGAUACUGCAUGGCUUGAGUCCGGUAGGGGACCACGGAAUUCCUGGUGUAGCGGUGAAAUGCGCAGAUAUCAGGAGGAACACCGGUGGCGAAGGCGGUGGUCUGGGCCGGUACUGACGCUGAGGAGCGAAAGCGUGGGGAGCGAACAGG
rnacentral:rRNA from 1 species